AGGCUUGUAGCUCAGGUGGUUAGAGCGCACCCCUGAUAAGGGUGAGGUCGGUGGUUCAAGUCCUCUCGGGCCUA
rnacentral:tRNA from 1 species